rnacentral:rRNA from 1 species
CUCCGGUUGAUCCUGCCGGACCCGACUGCUAUCAGAGUGGGACUAAGCCAUGCGAGUCAACAUAGCAAUAUGUGGCAUACGGCUCAGUAACACGUAGUCAACAUGCCCAGGGGACGUGGAUAACCUCGGGAAACUGAGGAUAAACCGCGAUAGGUCAUCACUUCUGGAAUGGGUAAUGACUUAAAUCUAUAUGGCCCCUGGAUUGGACUGCGGCCGAUCAGGCUGUUGGUGAGGUAAUGGCCCACCAAACCUGUAACCGGUACGGGCUCUGAGAGGAGGAGCCCGGAGAUGGGCACUGAGACAAGGGCCCAGGCCCUAUGGGGCGCAGCAGGCGCGAAACCUCUGCAAUAGGCGAAAGCUUGACAGGGUUACUCUGAGUGAUUUCCGUUAAGGAGAUCUUUUGGCACCUCUAAAAAUGGUGCAGAAUAAGGGGUGGGCAAGUCUGGUGUCAGCCGCCGCGGUAAUACCAGCACCCCGAGUGGUCGGGACGUUUAUUGGGCCUAAAGCAUCCGUAGCCGGUUCUACAAGUCUUCCGUUAAAUCCACCUGCUUAACAGAUGGGCUGCGGAAGAUACUAUAGAGCUAGGAGGCGGGAGAGGCAAGCGGUACUCGAUGGGUAGGGGUAAAAUCCGUUGAUCCAUUGAAGACCACCAGUGGCGAAGGCGGCUUGCCAGAACGCGCUCGACGGUGAGGGAUGAAAGCUGGGGGAGCAAACCGGAUUAGAUACCCGGGUAGUCCCAGCUGUAAACGAUGCAGACUCGGUGAUGAGUUGGCUUAUUGCUAACUCAGUGCCGCAGGGAAGCCGUUAAGUUUGCCGCCUGGGGAGUACGGUCGCAAGACUGAAACUUAAAGGAAUUGCGGGGGAGCA